UACGAAGGGGGCGAGCGUUAUUCGGAAUCACUGGGCGUAAAGCGUGCGUAGGCUGUUUCGCAAGUUGGAAGUGAAAGCCCAGGGCUCAACCCCGGAAUUGCUUUCAAAACUGCGAGACUCGAGUCCGGGAGAGGAUAGCGGAAUUUCCAGUGUAGUAGUGAAAUACGUAGAUAUUGGAAGGAACACCAGUGGCGCAAGCGGCUAUCUGGACCGGUACUGACGCUGAGGCACGAAAGCGUGGGGAUCAAACAGG
rnacentral:rRNA from 1 species